AGCUCUCCGAGUGGUGUGGAUGUUUAUUGGGCCUAAAGCAUCCGUAGCUGGCUAGGUCAGUCCCUUGUUAAAUCCACCGAAUUAAUCGUUGGAUUGCGGGGGAUACUGCUUGGCUAGGGGACGAGAGAGGCAGACGGUAUUUUCGGGGUAGGGGUGAAAUCCUAUAAUCCCGGGAAGACCACCAGUGGCGAAGGCUGUCUGCUAGAACGCGCCCGACGGUGAGGGAUGAAAGCUGGGGGGAGCGAACC
rnacentral:rRNA from 1 species